AUUGAACGCUGGCGGCAGGCCUAACACAUGCAAGUCGAACGAGUGGCGGACGGGUGAGUAAUGUCUGGGAAACUGACUGAUGGAGGGGGAUAACUACUGGAAACGGUAGCUAAUACCGCAUAACAUCGAAUGUGCCCAGAUGGGAUUGGCUAUUAGGUUGGGUAAAGGCUCACCUAGGCGACGAUCCCUAGCUGGUCGUAGAGGAUGACCAGCCAAACUGGAACUGAGACACGGUCAAGACGCCUACGGGAGGCAGCAGUGGGGAAUAUUGCACAAUGGGCGCAAGCCUGAUGCAGCCAUGCAGCGUGUAUGAAGAAGGCCUUCGGGUUGUAAAGUACUUUCAGCGGGGAGGCGUUACCGACAGAAGAAGCACCGGCUAACUCCGUGCCAGCAGCCGCGGUAAUAC
rnacentral:rRNA from 1 species